rnacentral:rRNA from 1 species
CAGUAGCCGCGGGAAUACGUAGGGUGCAAGCGUUAUCCGGAAUUAUUGGGCGUAAAGAGCUCGUAGGCGGUUUGUCACGUCUGCUGUGAAAACGCGAGGCUCAACCUCGCGCCUGCAGUGGGUACGGGCAGACUAGAGUGCGGUAGGGGAGAUUGGAAUUCCUGGUGUAGCGGUGGAAUGCGCAGAUAUCAGGAGGAACACCGAUGGCGAAGGCAGAUCUCUGGGCCGUAACUGACGCUGAGGAGCGAAAGGGUGGGGAGCAAACAGGCUUAGAUACCCCCGUAGUCCCUGUCUCUUAUAC